rnacentral:lncRNA from 1 species
CCGAAACGGAGACGAGUGUGGUAGUGACUGGGUUUCACGACUUUGCCGUCAGUGGCGAAUAAUCUCCGUGGCAACCGCCUUCUGACGUCAAGGGUUCUUGACGUCAUGCCAGCAUGAGAUCACCCGUGGCACUCCCCGCCUUGGUUUCCUGUGUCAGCAGCCAAAGGAAAAGGCCAAGAAAGGCAAGGAAGACCAGAGAUUAUGUGUGUAAGGACUUUUCGGCUGACUCAGGGUGCCAUGGAUGCCAUGUUAACCUCUGUGACCUGCAGGGACAUUCCAGAUGACUUCCUGGAAAAUCUAAGUAACUGGAAGACCAUGAAAAGAAGAAGAAAUGAUCAACCCCUGCCAUGCCUACUUUGAGACAUUCUCUAUUGUUCCUUAUUCCUGCCCUAAUUGAUAAGGCCAUUGGAUUUUAUAACUGACCUUGGUCAACCUCGUGAUUCCACACUCUAGGACCCUCUCCCAGCUUGCAAACCUAUGAUCCCCUCCCAGAUUACAAAAAACCUCCCUAAACUGUAACUUUCCACUGCCCACUCAAACCUAUAAAACCAACUCCUCCUAUAAUCCCGGCUACUUAGGAGGCUGAGGCAGAAGAAUCACAUGAACCUGGGAGACAGAGGUUGCAGUGAGUCGAGAUCACACCACUGCACUUCACCCUGGGUAGCAGAGCGAGACUCUGUCUCAAAAACAAAAAAAAACUAACUCCUAUCCCACUGCCCUUCACUGAUGCCGUUUUCAGCCUCAGCCUACCUGCACCCAGGUGAAUAAACAGCCAUGUUGCUCACACAAAGCCUGUUUGAGAGUCUCUUCAUUUAGAGCAUGUGUUUUAACAAUGUGGUUUGCCAAAUUUUAUCAGCCAGUUACUAGGAGAACCAGGGCUACAAUCCAUGCCUCCUCCUUUCCACCUUCCCUCUGUUUUUCCUGGAAUAGCAGAAACAGAAAACAGCCACUAGAGGGGUAUUGUAUGCCUGUGGUUGCACACAGAUUCUGAUGUCAGACUACCCAGUUUCAAAUCUCAGAUCUGUUAUAUGGUAGCUGUGUGAUUUUGGCCAAGUACUCUAACUGCUCUGUAUUUCAGUUUUUUCAUCUACAUAAUGGAGGGCAUAAUAGUAUCGACUUCAGUGAAUUAAUAUACUUAAAGCAGUAUAUUACACUUGGCACACUGAGUGACCAGAAAUCUGUUACUAUUUAGCACACACUCUGCUAGCUGCUGAUACAACAAAUAUUUAGAGGCCAGGGAUUUUGCCCACAGCUGUUUUUGUUUGAUCUGAAGUUAAAAGAACACAAACAAAACAAAAUAAAAAAUGUCACUUGAGAUAACGUUUACAAUUCUGGAUAUUUCACACAGAGAUCCAAAUUUCCGGUUUCUCUUUGAAAUCAGAAGGUCUGAUAUCAGUAAGCCAAAAUUCUAGGCCAGUACCAAUUGGCUGGGGCCAAUUUAAUCCAUACCAGUCAUGUAAAGCUUCCAUCUUAACUUGACCUGUCUGACUACUGCAUGCCUUUGUAUUUGCAUUUCAGAUUAAGAAAACCUCUGCUCUCAAGGAACUCACAAUCCAAUAGGUGAGAUGCAUUUGCUAAACAAUGUACAAUCUAUUGUGAUAGGAACGAGUAUAAAGUUGCAAAUUUCAAAAUACAGCAGUAGCCUGAAGAAACAGGAGUGCCUUGAAUGGUAGAGGUGCUGAUGGUGAUGUGUGUUGUCUAAAAAGUGGCUUUGAAAAAGAAAAGGAGAGGAAUGGGGUUGUAAAGGAAACAGAAUGUGCAAAGACAUCGAAAUGGGAAAUGGCUUGUGUGUUUAGAAACUAUAAGAAGUUCGAUUUUGGAGAAUACUGUACAAUGAG